UACGAAGGGGGCUAGCGUUGCUCGGAAUCACUGGGCGUAAAGCGCACGUAGGCGGCUUGUUAAGUCAGGGGUGAAAUCCUGGAGCUCAACUCCAGAACUGCCUUUGAUACUGAAGAUCUUGAGUUCGGGAGAGGUGAGUGGAACUGCGAGUGUAGAGGUGAAAUUCGUAGAUAUUCGCAAGAACACCAGUGGCGAAGGCGGCUCACUGGCCCGAUACUGACGCUGAGGUGCGAAAGCGUGGGGAGCAAACAGG
rnacentral:rRNA from 1 species